rnacentral:lncRNA from 1 species
UAGAAAUAGAGUUCAUGAGGUCCUUUCCUGACAAUUCAGAUUUCACCAGCUGUAAGAUGAGGAUCGCGUUAGUUAUGCAGACUUCACCCAUGAAGGAAACUGGAGGAGAGCUAUUGGUUAAUUUUUCUAAAUAGCUCUAAGGCUAUAAAGCACCCUGUGUCUGCAGCUCCAAAUUAGACUCUGGAUCUCAGGUAGCUCCUCGGAGGCAGUCACAGAUGUUUAAGACAAAAAUACCAGUCUGAAAAGAAGCCAAGGAGCCUGUUUUGGUUGCUGCCUGUACAUAACUAUGUGGUUAUUACAAAAGCCCUAACAUGCCACGGUCAAAGAGGAAGGCAGAAGGCAGGAUGAGAUGCUGUAAAGAGCCUUUGGCUCUGUCACAAGCCUUGAGCCUGUGGAGGAAGCUCUUUCCCUCAGAUCGGCCACCAGCUGACACUUCGGCUUGAGGAGAGGUGCCCCUGCUGCUGCGCGUGGGCCACCAAAUCGCACCCUCGGACCUUACGUGAGGGGCAGGGAGAACUGCUCUUUGGGAGAAGCCAUGUCUUUGAGAUGUGGAUGUGCCCAGGCUUCAGAUUUGAACACUUUGGAGAAGUGGUAGGUAAGUGGUUUAUGGUUAGAGUGAA